CGGAGCUAACGCGUUAAGUAGACCGCCUGGGGAGUACGGCCGCAAGGUUAAAACUCAAAUGAAUUGACGGGGGCCCGCACAAGCGGUGGAGCAUGUGGUUUAAUUCGAUGCAACGCGAAGAACCUUACCUGGUCUUGACAUCCACAGAAGAAUCCAGAGAUGGAUUUGUGCCUUCGGGAACUGUGAGACAGGUGCUGCAUGGCUGUCGUCAGCUCGUGUUGUGAAAUGUUGGGUUAAGUCCCGCAACGAGCGCAACCCUUAUCCUUUGUUGCCAGCGGUUAGGCCGGGAACUCAAAGGAGACUGCCAGUGAUAAACUGGAGGAAGGUGGGGAUGACGUCAAGUCAUCAUGGCCCUUACGACCAGGGCUACACACGUGCUACAAUGGCGCAUACAAAGAGAAGCGACCUCGCGAGAGCAAGCGGACCUCAUAAAGUGCGUCGUAGUCCGGAUUGGAGUCUGCAACUCGACUCCAUGAAGUCGGAAUCGCUAGUAAUCGUGGAUCAGAAUGCCACGGUGAAUACGUUCCCGGGCCUUGUACACACCGCCCGUCACACCAUGGGAGUGGGUUGCAAAAGAAGUAGGUAGCUUAACCUUCGGGAGGGCGCUUACCACUUUGUGAUUCAUGACUGGGGUGAAGUCGUAACAAGGUAACCGUAGGGGAACCUGCGGUUGGA
rnacentral:rRNA from 2 species